rnacentral:rRNA from 1 species
AUAAUGGGUCAGCGACUUAUAUUCUGUAGCAAGGUUAACCGAAUAGGGGAGCCGAAGGGAAACCGAGUCUUAACUGGGCGUUAAGUUGCAGGGUAUAGACCCGAAACCCGGUGAUCUAGCCAUGGGCAGGUUGAAGGUUGGGUAACACUAACUGGAGGACCGAACCGACUAAUGUUGAAAAAUUAGCGGAUGACUUGUGGCUGGGGGUGAAAGGCCAAUCAAACCGGGAGAUAGCUGGUUCUCCCCGAAAGCUAUUUAGGUAGCGCCUCGUGAAUUCAUCUCCGGGGGUAGAGCACUGUUUCGGCAAGGGGGUCAUCCCGACUUACCAACCCGAUGCAAACUGCGAAUACCGGAGAAUGUUAUCACGGGAGACACACGGCGGGUGCUAACGUCCGUCGUGAAGAGGGAAACAACCCAGACCGCCAGCUAAGGUCCCAAAGUCAUGGUUAAGUGGGAAACGAUGUGGGAAGGCCCAGACAGCCAGGAUGUUGGCUUAGAAGCAGCCAUCAUUUAAAGAAAGCGUAAUAGCUCACUGGUCGAGUCGGCCUGCGCGGAAGAUGUAACGGGGCUAAACCAUGCACCGAAGCUGCGGCAGCGACGCUGAUGCGUUGUUGGGUAGGGGAGCGUUCUGUAAGCCUGCGAAGGUGUGCUGUGAGGCAUGCUGG